UACGGAGGGGGCUAGCGUUGUUCGGAAUUACUGGGCGUAAAGCGCACGUAGGCGGCUUUGUAAGUUAGAGGUGAAAGCCCGGGGCUCAACCCCCGGAAUUGCCUUUAAGACUGCAUCGCUAGAAUUGUGGAGAGGUAAGUGGAAUUCCGAGUGUAGAGGUGAAAUUCGUAGAUAUUCGGAAGAACACCAGUGGCGAAGGCGACUUACUGGACACAUAUUGACGCUGAGGUGCGAAAGCGUGGGGAGCAAACAGG
rnacentral:rRNA from 1 species